GCCGCCGGAGCUGCGGAACUGCUGCGCGACGCCAUCGCGCGCGGCGGGUUCGAGGUCCGCCAGCGGCA
rnacentral:tRNA from 1 species